rnacentral:rRNA from 1 species
UACGUAGGGUGCGAGCGUUAAUCGGAAUUACUGGGCGUAAAGUGUGCGCAGGCGGCCGCGCAAGUCGAGUGUGAAAGCCCCGAGCUUAACUUGGGAAUUGCGCUCGAAACUACGUGGCUGGAGUGUGGCAGAGGAAGGUGGAAUUCCAGGUGUAGCGGUGAAAUGCGUAGAUAUCUGGAGGAACACCGGUGGCGAAGGCGGCAUUCUGGACCGAUAUUGACGCUGAGGAGCGAAAGCCAGGGGAGCAAACGGG